rnacentral:lncRNA from 1 species
UCAAAUAUUGGCAUGCAAGUUGAGUAAUGAGGUCAAUUCCACUUGGUUAGAAGAAAGUAAUCAUUAGAUUGUAUGGUCUAGUUAUCACUCAAAAGAAUUUUGGGCAAAUUCUACCUCAUCCAUGGGGUCAUACAAAAAUUCAGGUUGCAAAAGCUAUUAGACACGCAACAUGAGCAAGCCAGCUAUUAAUCAUGGUUGGAAAGAUUG